rnacentral:rRNA from 1 species
GAUGAACGCUGGCGGCGUGCUUAACACAUGCAAGUCGAACGGAAAGGCCCUCCUCUUGUGGGGUGCUCGAGUGGCGAACGGGUGAGUAACACGUGAGUAACAUGCACUUGUCUUUGGGAUAUCUUCUGGAAACUGGGGCUAAUACCGGAUAGGAGCUCCUGCUGCAUGGUGUGGGUUGGUAAGUUUCGGCGGUUGGGGAUGGACUCGCGGCUUAUCAGCUUGUUGGUGGGGUAGUGGCAUACAAAGGCUUUGACGGGUAGCCGGCCUGAGAGGGUGACCGGCCACAUUGGGACUGAGAUACGGCCCAGACUCCUACGGUAGGCAGCAGUGGGGAAUAUUGCACAAUGGGCGGAAGCCUGAUGCAGCAACGCCCCGUGCGUGAUGACGGCCUUCGAGUUGUAAACCACUUUCGCCGGUGACGAAGCGUGAGUGACGGUAAUGGGUAAAGAAGCACCGGCUAACUACGUG